AUGGCUUUUGUUCCAAACAAGCGUCUUUUUCUUAUUGCAUUUUUGUUGCUUUUUUUCAUCUCAACCACAGUUCGAGCUAGAAACUUGAGAGAGAUUAAAGAAGGAGGUGAACAGGGUCAAAGUAGUGAGUUUAAGCCAAACCAUGAAGGGACAGAAACACAAGUAAAAAAUGAUGAUUUGUUGGAUACAAUGGACUAUACACCUGCAUCAAAGAAUCCACCAAUCCAUAAUUAA